GAUCAAGAUACUAAGAGCAUACGGUGGAUGCCUUGGCACGAAGAGGCGAUGAAGGACGUGGUAAGCUGCGAUAAGCCUCGAUUAGGAGCAAACAUCCUUUAAGUCGGGGAUUUCCGAAUGGGGUAACCCAGCAGGGUAAUACCUGUCUAUCAUGCACUGAAUACAUAGGUGUAUGAAGCGAACGAGGAGAACUGAAACAUCUAAGUAACCUCAGGAAGAGAAAACAACCGUGAUUUCCCAAGUAGCGGCGAGCGAACGGGAACAAGUCUAAACCGGCGUGUACGUUAAAGCGGGUGCGCGUUGUACUGCCGGUGUUGCGGGGUCUGUCUGGACUGAAGUACCAAUAGGUCGGAGAGUCAAAAACCGCAUUGUUAGCCGAAUAAUUCUGGAACGUCAAACCAUAGAGGGUGAUAGUCCCGUAGGCGAAAACAAUGUGGCUCUCUCGGAUGGAUACCCAAGUAACUCGGAACACGAGAAAUUCUGAGUGAAUCUGGCAGGACCACCUGCCAAGACUAAACACUACUUCGUGACCGAUAGUGAACCAGUACCGUGAGGGAAAGGUGAAAAGAACCGCUGACGCGGAGUGAAAUAGUACCUGAAACCGUGUGCUUACAAGCUGUGGGAGGAAGACUUCCCCUUCGGGGCGAAGUGGACUGACCGCGUGCCUAUUGAAUAAUGACCUAGCGAGUUACUUCUCUGUUGCAAGGUUAAGGCAAAUACUGCCGGAGCCGUAGCGAAAGCGAGUCUUAAACGGGCGCUAAGUAGCAGGGAGUAGACCCGAAGCCAGGUGAUCUAUGUAUGGUCAGGAUGAAAUCUCGGUAAAACGAGAUGAAGGUCCGAACCCACCAGUGUUGAAAAGCUGGGGGAUGAACUGUACAUAGGGGUGAAAGGCCAAUCAAACCUGGAGAUAGCUGGUUCUCCCCGAAAUAGCUUUAGGGCUAGCCUCGUGAUAUAGUGUGACGGAGGUAGAGCACUGAAUUGGUA
rnacentral:rRNA from 1 species